rnacentral:rRNA from 1 species
UAAGGAAUAUUGGUCAAUGGAGGCAACUCUGAACCAGCCAUGCCGCGUGAAGGAUUAAGGCCCUCUGGGUUGUAAACUUCUUUUAUAUGGGAAGAAAUGUACUUUUUCUAAAGUGCUUGACGGUACCAUAGGAAUAAGCACCGGCUAACUCCGUGCCAGCAGCCGCGGUAAUACGGAGGGUGCGAGCGUUAUCCGGAUUUACUGGGUUCAAAGGGUGCGUAGGUGGGCUUAUAAGUCAGUGGUGAAAUCUCCGAGCUUAACUUGGAAACUGCCGUUGAUACUAUAGGUCUUGAAUUACCUGGAGGUAAGCGGAAUAUGUCAUGUAGCGGUGAAAUGCUUAGAUAUGACAUAGAACACCAAUUGCGAAGGCAGCUUACUACAUAUAAAUUGACGCUGAGGCACGAAAGCGUGGGGAUCAAACA